CGCUAAACCAGAUUGAAGCGGAUACCGGCCCAUGAGCCUUAGACCUGCAGGCGUAUGAGCGAAAAGCUGGACGAACA
rnacentral:sRNA from 1 species